rnacentral:tmRNA from 1 species
ACGCUUUUCAGAUGCCUUUCCUGUGCUUAUAUAGCUCCUGUCGGACUUGAUCCGGCUAUGGCGAUAAACUGCCGGUGCAAUAAACCAUUCGGACCCGGGGGCGGUACCCGGCGCCUCCACCUGAGUCCCUUGCAGUCAAGGGGUUGAGGCGGGGGCGAAAUAGGAUCGACGAGGGUGUAAAGAUCGGACUUUCGCUCGGCAUGGUACCACCGUCAUCGGGCUGUUAAAGUAGUUGCAAACGACAACUAUGCGGAAGCACGUCUCGCCGCUUAACGCGGUGCGAUAGCUUCAAAUUAAGCCCUGCGGGUUCGCACUUGCAGGCGGGGUUCGAAGGCACCUGGCAACAGAAGCCUUCACC